CCUCCCGCUUUUCCUCCCUGAGCGGGUGCCCCGGCCAUAUUGCCGGGGCCUAUUACACCCCGGUCGUUUUCCCCUUGGACCGGGGUUUCUUUU
rnacentral:ncRNA from 1 species